AGAGUUUGAUCCUGGCUCAGGAUUAACGCUAGCGGCAGGCCUAAUACAUGCAAGUCGAACGGGAUUCAAAGUAGCAAUAUUUUGAUGAGAGUGGCGCACGGGUGAGUAACACGUAUGCAAUUUACCUUUAACUGGGGGAUAGCCCUCCGAAAGGAGGAUUACUACCGCAUAAUAUAUUGAAAUGGCAUCAUUUUAAUAUUAAACCUACGGGGGUUAAAGAUGAGCAUGCAUCCGAUUAGCUAGUUGGUGUGGUAACGGCUCACCAAGGCAACGAUCGGUAGGGGGUCUGAGAGGAUGAUCCCCCACACUGGUACUGAGACACGGACCAGACUCCUACGGGAGGCAGCAGUAAGGAAUAUUGGACAAUGGAGGCAACUCUGAUCCAGCCAUGCCGCGUGAAGGAUUAAGGCCCUAUGGGUUGUAAACUUCUUUUAGACGGGACAAAACCCCUUUACGUGUAAAGGGUUGAUGGUACUGUCAGAAUAAGCAUCGGCUAACUUCGUGCCAGCAGCCGCGGUAAUAU
rnacentral:rRNA from 1 species